GCCUCUGUAGCUCAGUUGGUUAGAGCACUGCACCGGAAUCGCAGUGCCGCAGGUUCAAUUCCAGCCAGGGACU